UACGUAGGUGGCAAGCGUUGUCCGGAAUUAUUGGGCGUAAAGCGCGCGCAGGCGGUCCUUUAAGUCUGAUGUGAAAGCCCACGGCUCAACCGUGGAGGGUCAUUGGAAACUGGGGGACUUGAGUACAGAAGAGGAAAGCGGUAUUCCACGUGUAGCGGUGAAAUGCGUAGAGAUGUGGAGGAACACCAGUGGCGAAGGCGGCUUUCUGGUCUGUAACUGACGCUGAGGCGCGAAAGCGUGGGGAGCAAACAGG
rnacentral:rRNA from 1 species